ACGCUGGCGGCAGGCCUAACCAUGCAAGUCGAACGGUAACAGGAAGCAGCUUGCUGCUUUGCUGACGAGUGGCGGACGGGUGAGUAAUGUCUGGGAAACUGCCUGAUGGAGGGGGAUAACUACUGGAAACGGUAGCUAAUACCGCAUAACGUCGCAAGACCAAAGAGGGGGACCUUCGGGCCUCUUGCCAUCGGAUGUGCCCAGAUGGGAUUAGCUAGUAGGUGGGGUAACGGCUCACCUAGGCGACGAUCCCUAGCUGGUCUGAGAGGAUGACCAGCCACACUGGAACUGAGACACGGUCCAGACUCCUACGGGAGGCAGCAGUGGGGAAUAUUGCACAAUGGGCGCAAGCCUGAUGCAGCCAUGCCGCGUGUAUGAAGAAGGCCUUCGGGUUGUAAAGUACUUUCAGCGGGGAG
rnacentral:rRNA from 1 species